UACGUAGGGGGCGAGCGUUGUCCGGAAUUAUUGGGCGUAAAGAGCGUGUAGGCGGUUCGGUAAGUCUGCCGUGAAAACCCAGGGCUCAACCCUGGGCGUGCGGUGGAUACUGCCGGGCUAGAGGGUGGUAGAGGCGAGUGGAAUUCCCGGUGUAGCGGUGAAAUGCGCAGAUAUCGGGAGGAACACCAGUAGCGAAGGCGGCUCGCUGGGCCACACCUGACGCUGAGACGCGAAAGCGUGGGGAGCAAACAGA
rnacentral:rRNA from 1 species